rnacentral:rRNA from 1 species
UACGUAGGUGGCAAGCGUUGUUCGGAAUUAUUGGGCGUAAAGAGCGUGUAGGCGGCCAAGCAGGUCCGUUGUGAAAACUGGAGGCUUAACCUCCAGACGUCGACGGAAACCGCGCGGCUAGAGUCCGGAAGAGGAGAGUGGAAUUCCUGGUGUAGCGGUGAAAUGCGCAGAUAUCAGGAAGAACACCCGUGGCGAAGGCGGUUCUCUGGGACGGUACUGGACGCUGAGACGCGAAAGCGUGGGGAGCGAACAGG